GAAAAGUUUUAUUUUAGCUUUAAAAUUCUUUAUAAGUUUAUUUUAUAUGCAAAUUUUAGUGAGAAAUUUUAAUUAUUUUAAAAAUAAUUAAAUUAAUUUAUAUUCGCAGUAAUUAGUAUUAUUAAUUAAAGAAAUUUAGAAAUAGAUAUAUUAUUAAAUAUUGGCUAAAUUUGUGCCAGCAGCCGCGGUUAUACAAAUAAUAUAAAAGAAUUUUUUUAAUUUGAGUUAAAUUGAAAUUUUAAAAUUAAUAAAUAUUUAUUAGGUGAAAUUUUAAAUAUUUAAAUUUUUAAUAAAAUGAUUUAUUGAGGCUUAUAAAAUUAAUAAAAAACUAGGAUUAGAUACCCUAUUAUUGAAUUGUAAGUUAAUAAAUUUGAGUAGUAUUAGUUAUGAUCUUGAAACUUAAAAAAUUUGGCGGUAUUUUAGUCUAUUCAGAGGAACCUGUCCUAUAAUCGAUAAUCCACGAUGGACCUAACUUAAAUUAGUUAAUCAGUUUAUAUACCGUCGUUAUCAGAAUAUUUUGUAAAAAAAAUAAUUUUCUAGUAUUUAAAUUAAAAUAUAUAUCAGAUCAAGGUGUAGCUAAUAUUUAAGUAGAGAUGGGUUACAAUAAAUUUAUUUAUUAUGAAUUAAAAAAUGAAAAAUUUUAUGAAGGUGGAUUUGAUAGUAAAAUUAUAAAGAUUAAUAAUUUGAUUUUAGCUCUAAAAUAUGUACACAUCGCCCGUCGCUCUUAUUAUUAAGAUAAGAUAAGUCGUAACAUAGUAGAAGUACCGGAAGGUGUUUCUAGAAUGA
rnacentral:ncRNA from 1 species